CAGUUCUACCCAUGGCCUGAUGGUGGGGGAGGGGCGGUUCCAGCUUCCCCACCUGGGGUGAAGCCUCCCUAUUUUGCACCCACGUGGUUCCCUGCACCUGGGGUCUCUCUUCUAUCCAAGGGUUUGUCUACCCACAUGCUCUCCUUGGUGCAUUCCCGCAGAUGGGUUUUGUCUAGCCUACCCAGUGCCUUAAAAAUGGGAAAUUUCACAUAAAACUUGGACAUCUUUUGAAGAACAAGCCUUGUGAACACCAGGCCCAUGUUUCUGCAUGCAACACUGGCUGGUGCCUUGCACGGGACUGGGGUUCCAGCUCUGCCCGGCCCCAUCACCUCCUGGCAUGUCACCUGGCCCUCGCUGGGUACCUGCCUGAACCCCUGGGCCUCUGACAAGAGCCCGAUUUCUUCCCUCAUUAAUCUUUAGAUCCUGUUACUAUUCUCAGUCUCUUGAGCAGGAAGUUGGACCCCAGGGAUUUUCAGCUCCUCUGGCUCCUGGGCUGUUUGAGGGGUCCUGAGAACGCUGACUGGCCCCUAGAUGACUCCUCUUAGUCAGCUUAACCUUGGGCCACAGGCUGACCCAGCUCUGCCCCUGUCCUUGCAGAUCACUGCCUCUUUUGUAAACUCGGUCCCCGCAUUUCUGGAGCCCACUUAGCUUCUCCCUGCUUGUGCCUGGGUCACCACUACUCAGGGAAAAGGAUCCUGUGUAUCAUCCAUACAAGAAGCUGAGCGUGGUGCCCAAAUCAUGGGACAGAACAGUCCUGCUUCGUGAUGCACAGAAUUAAUCCCGGACGGAGCCUGGAGCACCUUAUCGACCAGGACACUGGCAACCUGGAAGGCGUCUACAACAGGGCAACUGAAGUCGUUCUAGGAAUGUCCUCUUUCCAGACAACAAUAAAGAACAGUUUAAUUAC